rnacentral:rRNA from 1 species
UACGUAGGGUGCAAGCGUUGUCCGGAAUUAUUGGGCGUAAAGAGCUCGUAGGCGGUCUGUCGCGUCUGCUGUGAAAACUCAGGGCUUAACCCUGAGCUUGCAGUGGGUACGGGCAGACUAGAGUGCGGUAGGGGAGACUGGAAUUCCUGGUGUAGCGGUGAAAUGCGCAGAUAGUCAGGAGGAACACCGGUGGCGAAGGCGGGUCUGCUGGGCCGU